rnacentral:lncRNA from 1 species
AUCACGAUUGUUUUUGGAAAAGGAAGAAAGCAAUAUCGUUGUUUCUUCACUACCGAAACAAAACUCCAAAAUUCAGUAACCUAUUAAUUUGAGUCUGUGUGGACGAACUAGAGGCCUGACGUGUGGAAGGCUUAUUGCUGGAAUUCAAACAUCUACAUCAGGCAUCGCAUAUUCGUCUAAACAAGUAAGUACUUAUUUGUUUUGAAAUAUGAAGGCCUGAAUCAAAUUGCAACUUCAAGCAAGAAGAACAAAACUAAACUGUUUGCUCAUUCCGCUGCGCAAAUAAUUUUCUUUCACAUGGCACAUACUUUUGCACAUCUUGAUUAAUCGCCAUAACCGUAGAUGUUUUCCGUGUAUUUUCCAUUAUGGAUAAAAACUAAAUUUAUGUGGAUAUUUUGAAAGCUUAUGAGAUUGUAUUAUUAUGCACAAGCACAGAGGGUUGAGACAUUUACCCAAAACAAAGUAUACCUUAGUUUUGUCAUCUUUACCAGCAUGGAGAACCUUCCCUCCCUCAGUUAUGGAGUCAGGAUCAUAGCUACUAGAGAAUCAAGCAGUUGGACUGUUUUUUUCCGGAACUGCUCUUCUGAUAUUUCGAGAUCAAAAUCUAUGGACCAAGACACCAGGCAAAGUAAAAUUUGAUGCAGCAAAUUUGCGAAAUGAUUUAAUUUGACAUUUAGUUGGAAAGUUAACAAAAGAUUACAAUAUAACGUUACACAUUGUUUAGCUCCUAAGGUCACCUGGUAAAGAAUUAGUCUUUCCAUUUUGGGCUAAACCAAACCACAUUUUUUAUUCAGACGACGUUUUUUAUUCACACACUAAUCAAAUAUCAAAGGAGGAUAACUUAGCAGAGUCUCUUGCACCAUGGUUGAGGUUCUCCAGACCACAUCUUUAUUGCCCGUUAGUCAUUGGCUAAUCCACCUAGCUUAGUAUUAUUGGUAGCACGACAGAAACAAUUUCAGGCAAAGUUUGACAGUUGCUGUUUUACAUCUAUCAUCAAGUUGCCAAGAGUUGCUGGAAUGGUCUUUUGGGCCCUAAAAACAUUCAUUUAAACCACAACAGAGUCUACUAUGCAAGGUAAUAUCCAGAAUGCACUAUUGGAUGAGCAAAUAUAAUCAAUUUAUUCCAUGAAACAGAAAAUGCUAGAGAAGUAACCUUGAAAUACUGACAUUUUAUAUGGACCUCAAUAACCACAUACUUACAUAUAUAUUUACGGAUAUUUUUGUCUUACAAGCAGUGUGUGGAGAAAACAAACCAAAAUUAAGGAUGAGACCAACGCAAAUCAAGAAAACAAACCAAAAUCUAGGAUAAGUCUAUGGUAAUAGAACGUUUACAAAUGCAACAGUGAAGAGACUCAAUCCCAUGUGCACUUGAUCUGGUGAGGGUGUUUGAAAUCAUAUGUCAUUAGCAAACUUCCAUCCAUUCUCUUAAACACAAAACUCUCAACCAAAACAAAACAUCCAAAUUCUCUCCACUCACCCUUUUCUCCAGAGUAUUCUAUCCGUUCCACCCUCACUUGCCUUUCGUUCCCACCUAGCCAUCCAGCUCUUUCUUGCUCCCAUUUCAUCCUUUGAACUAAUUCUAUGCUCAGACCAACUGUCGCUUCCUCUCCAGCUCUCCCAAAACUCUUAAACCAUAUUGUUCCUUCAACAACAUUUUUCUCAUCCCACACAGCUUUGUUGCCAGCAAUGUAGACAGCUUCUCGAUCAAUGGUGACAUCUAUGGACACAGACUUCGCCUCAUGAUAGAUAUUCUGUGUUGAAUAUACCUGCUCCCACUUUUGCUCCAGAGUCACCUGAUAAAACAUUGAUCUUUUCAUCUGAUCUUUCACUAUCCCAUCUUUGAUAAACAGAAAAGGGCUAUACCAUUUCCCUACUACAACAGCUUCAGAACUCUUAUACGAUGGUGGUACACUGAAUUCAGGAAGGCGGGCUCGUAGAGUAGCAUUGAGACCAGGAGCUUCGUCUAAUUUGUAGUGUUUUGGAGUUUUAGUGCGAACUGACCACCCUUUUCUUCUCAAGAAAUAGGGAGGAAAACCAUCAGGCGCAACAGAUUUAGCAUAAAAGUAACCCCUGCCAGCGCAAGGUGUUUCACGAACAAAAACCUCAAAUUGUUGGUAAAUGUUCUUUGGAUCAAAUGGCCUUGGUUUAAUAUCUUUAACACAACGACAGAAACAGCAGGUGGUCAUGUCUUCUUCCCUAGAACAAGCCACGGCUUGCCUGAAAUAAUGAGGAGGAGAUUAAUUAGGAAAUGCUCCGUGACAAACCAAUCAGAUUAAGGAACAAAUUAGUGGCAUACUGUAGGAAAGCAUUAACAUGCAAUUAUUAGUUCUUCAGGUUCUGGAUUGAGAACUUUUAGAUGUGAAGAUAGCUGUUUCAAGUUUUCUGCAGAGGCUAGAGCGUAAUACAAGUGAUGAAUGCAGUUAAGUCGCAAUUUGUCAACCAAAAUUGUUUUAUUAAAAUUGAUUUUGUUCAUCAAAAUUCUCUUCCUGCUGUAAAAUUAUGCUGACUUUGUUUUCUGGAACUUUGCAUCUCCUUUUAAACUUAGCCUGCUUGAAGACUAGUUGAAUUAUAUUCAGGCCACUCAAUUCCAAGGUUUCGAAGUGCAUGAUUCUGGUAUAGUUCUUUUCAGUUGAAGCUCAUUCUCUAUUUCAAAGAAGAAUCAGUUCCUAACCAGUCAUUUAAAACUGAACUAAAAAACAAGCUCAUCAAAACAUAAACAUAAGUUAAAACCAGAAGAAGGACCUUUUUGAUACAUACCCUUUGUGAUCAUUUAAAACUGAAGUAAAAAACAAGCUCAUCAAAACAUAAAUAUAAGUUAAACAAGAAGAAGGACCUUUUCGAUACAUACCCUUUGUGAUUUCCAUGUGGCUUGAUGACAUAGUAGCGAUUCGAAGACAAAGGAAGGUUGAGAACUGGAAUGAAGACAGCAUCAUUAAGGGAAACAUGUUGGCUCUCACCACUACUUUGUACGUAGCGAACUGUCAAGUCCUUGUUCUGAGGAAACGGCAGAUCCCUCAGGGUUCGAUUCUUGCACAAUCCAAAACAAGAAUAUGUCUCCGAUUCUUCAUCUUGAAUUACCAAGUAUCCGGAAUUUGGACCCUCCGGGGGUAAUGAAAGUGCAUCUGGAUUCUUUGUGUACUCAGAAAGUGGCCUUGCAACAUACAUAUUUCCCAAAUUUUCUUCCCCAGUCCUCCUGUGUUAGUCUAUUUAUUGAUGUUUACAGAUGUUUGACAAGUCGUAUUUGCAAAUACCAUAUCCCUCUCUGUCUCUAUAUGUAUAUCUACAAGAGGAUAAGGUGGGAACAUUUAGAAUCUUCAGUAUACAACCAAGGAAGUUUUUUUUUUUUUUUUUUUUUUUUGAAGGAACUAAGGAAGUUCACACUUGACAAAAUAAUAUCCUAAUGGCAAAGAUGGGUUAGAAAUCAACCAACCUGGAAAAGUUGAACAAGUUAGCUAGCCAGACAACAAGCUGACCAGUGCUGAAUCUGUUUGCAGAUACAAUUUCCUCGUUGAUUCCAGGAAAGUUACCCGGGAUCAGCUUAUAUUUGGAGCCAAAACCUUGAAAACAAGAAGUUUAUGCAGA